rnacentral:rRNA from 1 species
GAUGAACGCUAGCGGGAGGCUUAACACAUGCAAGUCGAGGGGCAGCAUGAUGUAGCAAUACAUUGAUGGCGACCGGCGCACGGGUGAGUAACGCGUAUGCAACCUACCUUUUACAGGAGGAUAGCUUCCGGAAACGGAAAUUAAUACUCCAUAACGAUAUAAUAAGGCACCUUAUAAUAUUCAAAGCUGCGGCGGUAGAAGAUGGGCAUGCGUAACAUUAGUUAGUUGGUGAGGUAACGGCUCACCAAGGCAACGAUGUUUAGGGGUCCUGAGAGGGUCAACCCCCACACUGGUACUGAGACACGGACCAGACUCCUACGGGAGGCAGCAGUGAGGAAUAUUGGUCAAUGGGCGCAAGCCUGAACCAGCCAUCCCGCGUGCAGGAAGACAGCCCUAUGGGUUGUAAACUGCUUUUCUGAGGGAAGAAUAAUCCCGAGUUUAUCGGGAGACGACGGUACCUCAGGAAUAAGCAUCGGCUAACUCCGUGCCAGCAGCCGCGGUAAUACGGAGGAUGCAAGCGUUAUCCGGAUUCAUUGGGUUUAAAGGGUGCGUAGGCGGACUGGUAAGUCAGUGGUGAAAUCUUUCGGCUCAACCGAGAAACUGCCAUUGAAACUGUCAGUCUUGAGUCAGGUAGAGGUAGGCGGAAUGUGUAGU